UGGAUUCGCUUCUUUCAAAGUGGGGAUUAUGUUCUUCUAGUGAACAUGUUUGCAAGUGCUAGCCAAUGGAACAAAGUGACAAGAGUGAGAGAGCCAAUGAGAAACAGAGGAGUUCAGAAACCAGAGCCAGGUAAGAAGUUCUGGAAUGUGUUUCAUCUGCAGCCUAUGCGUGAUCAGAAGGUACAAUUCCAAAAAAAAAUAUCAUCUAAUUUCACAUUAUUUCCAUUGCUUUAUGAUUAUACAAUUCCAAAAAAAUGAGAACCAGAGGUUAACAGUACACAGACUGCUGAAAUUGAUGUUUAACCAAUAGAUCACUACUAUGAUGCCUUAGGAGGGCCUGAAUUGGAUACUCUCAGGCAAGUGUGGAGUGCUACUAAUUUGGAGAGAUCUGACAUAAAUAAAGUCUUCUAUUGGUACGAGAGCAUAAUCAAGUUCUCAAAUCUGCACUU